ensembl:snRNA U6 U6 spliceosomal RNA
GUGCUUGCUUUGGCAGCACACAUACUAAAAUUGGGACGAUACAGAGAAGAUUAGCAUGGCCCUUGCACAAGGAUGAUAUGCAAAUUAAUAAAGCAUUCCAUAAAAAU